rnacentral:rRNA from 1 species
CCUACGGGUGUCAGCAGUGAGGAAUAUUGGUCAAUGGGCGCAAGCCUGAACCAGCCAAGUCGCGUGAGGGAUGACGGUCCUAUGGAUUGUAAACCUCUUUUGUCGGGGAGCAAGGCCCGCCACGUGUGGCGGGAAGGAGAGUACCCGAAGAAAAAGCAUCGGCUAACUCCGUGCCAGCAGCCGCGGUAAUACGGAGGAUGCGAGCGUUAUCCGGAUUUAUUGGGUUGAAAGGGUGCGUAGGCGGAAGGUUAAGUUCACGGUCAAAGGUCGGUGCUCAAAACCGGCCUGCCGUUGAAACUGGUCGUAUGUAGUGAGCGAGAAGUAGGCGGAAGGCGUGGUGUAGCGGUGAAAUGCAUAGAUAUCACGCAUAACUCCGAUUGCGAAGGCAGCAUACCGGAGCUCAACUGACGCUGAGGCACGAAAGCGUGGGGAUCGAACAGGAUUAGAUACCCCAGUAGUC